UACGUAGGGGGCGAGCGUUGUCCGGAUUUAUUGGGCGUAAAGAGCUCGUAGGCGGCCGUUCGCGUCGGAUGUGAAAGCUCAGGCUCAACCCUGAGACGCCAUUCGAUACGGGACGGCUAGAGGUAGGUAGGGGAAAGUGGAAUUCCGUGGUGUAGCGGUGAAAUGCGCAGAUAUCAGGAGGAACACCGGUGGCGAAGGCGGCUUUCUGGGCCUUACCUGACGCUGAGGAGCGAAAGCUGGGGGAGCGAACAGG
rnacentral:rRNA from 1 species